GAACGGCCUGGGUUGAAAAGGACCAAAAUGACCAUCCAGUUCCAACCCCCUGUUAUGUGCAGGGUCGCCAACCAGCAGACCAGGCUGCCCAGAGCCACAUCCAGCCUGGCCUUGAAUGCCUCCAGGGAUGGGGCAUAUAUGUUAAAACAUAGGUAGCUGCUGCAUGCUUUUCAGGAAAAUAAGGGCUGAAAUCUUUUGUUUAAUCCAUUGAGCUAUUUUUGUCAAAUUCCAUCUGUUGCACAAUGGGGAGGUGGUGCAAAAUUGGUGCUCUAGUCUUUUAUUUCACUAUUUAUUUUACUUGUGACAUUUGAUGGUCGUGAAUUGCUGCUCUCUGGUUCUUUCUGUGCAAAUUGAUAGCAAAUGCCUCCCUAAAGAAAAACAGGGUGGCUAGUGUUGAAAUAACAAUAAUUUCAACUGGGGAAGACCAGAAAAUUAAGCAGGAUGCAGUUUUAAAAGAAUGUAGAGAACCUUUUUGCUCUGCAUUACAGUCAUAAGGCUUAUCCAGAGUAUCUUUCAAAGUCAAUAACAAGUAAGUUACAGUUGAAAACUGAAUUCUGAACACAUAUCGUACUUCCAACUUCACAGCAAGCUGACACUUUUGUGCAAAAAAGUAUAUGUUAUAGAUUAUACUUCCAUUGUUUUGAACAGGAAAAAUCUCUCUGCCCUAAGGAACCCAUAUUCUAGCAUCCUGCUCUUAAGAAACAUGGAAGUGCUUAAUUUUCUGAUCAUAGGCUCUCUAAUGGAAGUCUUACAAAGUUAACAAGAUUGUGUUUUUUUGGAUAAGGCCCAAAGGCCCCAUUCUGUAGGCUUACAGGAGCGAGUCGUACUUGCAGUGCAGUGGAGAGGAGAGCAUCUCACUCAUCAAGCUGCAGUUUCCAAGUUCUGACCCUAAUUGCUGUACCAAUUGGCACAGGAUGCAUGUAUGCACAGUGCAGCCCAAGGAGGAAUGGAUCAUGAGUGUAGCAAGGAAGGAGACUACACCUUAGCAAUGAUUUCAUCAGUUUGUCUUCUUUUUAUACUUGUGAAUCGUUCUUACCGUCUGUCUUGGAUCCCUUUAGGAAAAUAUUGCGUCCCUAUGUUGGUUACAGACCUCUCUAUGCUCAUUCCUUGGCAGUCAUCUCAGAAGCACCAACAGCAGAAUCUUUUUUGUGCAGACAAAUCCCACAGGGGUGUACUUAGCAAGAACUGCUGCAAUAAACACCCGAACUCCCCAUAAAAGCACUACCCUUGUCUGAAGGGCUGUUGCAUAUAGGAAUUUGCCAUGUGACUUCUGUUCUUUCUCAUCUGACUAUCUGUUCCCGGUGAUAACAAACUUUGAUAUGGAAAACAGGGGAUUGUAUGGCCUGACUGUCAGCAUGGUGAUGCCUUGCCAUAGCCAACCACCUUCCACAGCACUGGGUGAAGAACAGAUGAUUAUUUCAGAAUUAUGUAGGCAGAAAAUGACAAGCAACGAUAGAGAGGACAUCCUGCUCCAGGUUAAAAGAGCACAUCAUCCUCUGCUACCCAGAUCCAUCAGCUGCAGGCUUCACCUUAGGAACAAACACUAGUGACUAUGAAUGUUUUGCUUCUGUCUCAGCUUGACCCAAUGUCCAUGGCCAUUGCUAACGAUGCUCUCAGCUGUGCAGAGAGGCUCCAUUGAUUGAGGACCACUGCGGCCCCGAUGGUCUUCAAUAUUCCGUGUUUGAUUUUAACAUAGAAAAUGUGGUCUAACGUGCUGAUCAGAAAACUCUCAAGCCUGUAGUACUGUGCUCAGGUGAGUAAUUAACCUUUAGAAAGGGCUCUGUGUCAAACAGUACCUAAGAAAAUCGGAAGUAGAAAUGCCCUGCUCUGCCAGCAGCUCAGACUGACCCAGCUGAAGCCCCUCAGCGUGGUGAUGAAGGCACUCACCAUGGAUGUGUCAGGUGCAAUUUGAUUUUCUCCCACAUGACCCAAACCCAGAGAUUUUACCCCGACUGCCCUGUCUCAGCUUUCCUCUGUGUGUGAAGUGCUACCUUGCAUAAAUAAUCUGAGUUUUUGCCACAGCCAGAAAGAUGUUCCUGUUAUUUCUCUGUGUCAUUUCGUUCAACACAAGAUUUGGUUUUGCUGUCUCAGCAAGGUGAGGACAGCGUGACUUCUUUUUCCCCAGAUCAACACCUCAACCCAUUUUCAGUUUGGCUGCUGAACAAAAAAUAAGAGGUUUCUGCACAGCCUCUUGUUCAGUGCUCAGAAAGAGAGUAAUUAAACUUCAAAAGGGGCUCCAUGUCCAACAGUAACUAAGAAAAUAGGAAGUGGAAACCCCCUGCUCUCCCAGCAGCUCAGGCUGAACCUUCUAAGUGCCUUCAUGUUAUAGAAGCUUCACAUGCUGUGUACUGCAGGGACAGCUCUGUAACACAGUGGUUCGGGUCUCUGGGGUGUGUAACAGAAAUCCUUAGAGCUUUAGCAGCACCUGCAGGAGGGAAUUCACUGUGGGCAAUGCCAGGUCUGCUGCUUGGGUCACAGCCUUCAGUUUUCACCUGCUCUACUAAGUCAGCACUGGUGCACUCAAAAUGGUCUGCCAGGAUUUUACACAAAGGGCAUUUUUCAGCUGAGGAUGAUGGUGGAUGAUUACUGGGAGGGCUGGAGGUGCUGGAGGAGAUUAGGGCUCAGUGUCUGCUGGGAAUUGAGCAUUCUGCUCAUGCUCUCCUGACAACCCCACUCUGCAGUUACCUAGAUCUUAUAAGCACCUGAAAUCUUGGAUAGCAAAUAGGAAGCCCUUUAUUCACAUACUGAAAUUACAACUAUUUAAUUUAAUUUUUAUAUUCAUAUAUUCUUUUAAUUUUUAAACUUUUUAUUUUUAUAUGGAGGAAAGUAGGAUUAUUUUUAUGAAUGGUUCAUCUUCUCUGAGAAUAUUGCUUAUACUUGGCCUGGUUUUCUAUGUACUGCAGCAUAGUAAAGCUUCAACUACAGACUUAAGCAAUGGCAUAAAUUGUUAAUCUAAUUACUCUUUUCUUUAACAUCCACCCUACAACAAGAAUUGUGCAUCUGGAUCCUCAGUCCUUCAUUUACCUGAGUGCAUAAUAAGCUCUCAGAUACUAUCUCGUCUGGACCAAGAAGUUACUAACAACCUAUGAUACAGGGACAUUCAUUCUGAGACAGUGGUCUGGGGUGGAAGGACGAUUGGUGGGCAGGCAGUUCUGUGGGAUGAGGUCUCUUGGAAGUGCCCUGAGGUAGAUAUCACAGAGCACAGGUAUCCAAAAUCAGCAGGUAGUCUGGCAAAUUACAGUGUAUGUCUUCACUUGUUUGUCAGUUAGUGCUCAUCUUGUUAUGGAUAUCAUGGCAAUGCUAAGAAUAAAUAACAGUUACCUAUCUUAGCUAAGAAAGUCAAGAAGAGUCUCAACCACCAGGUGACAGUGCCUGCAGCACUCUCUGAUUUCCUUUCUGGUCUGAAGUGCUACAAUUGCUGCUGUGUGGGAUAGAUUCUCUGUUUGGAAAAGACAGGCAAGCAAAGCUUUUCCAUGAUUCUAAUGAAUGGCACAACACUACCUUCUCAACUUUAAAAUAUGCCACAAAAGGGAACACGUCUUUUCUUGUUAAUUCUGUCCUUCCACAAAACAAACACUGUAUCAUAGUUCCUCCUGCCCCACUACCAGAAGGUGCCCAUUGAAGUUCUGCCAUCAAUUUUGAAAUCACUCAUGAUGCUACCCCACGUGAAUUCGUGCAGGUAAAAAAAAGAGAGAGAGAGAGAAGAAGUAGUUUGUAGUUGUCUAGUUCAAUUAAAAUACUUGGAUAUUCACUUAUGGAAGCAACACUUAUGGAAGCAAAUAUAACACUAGUGAGUGAAUUAUGACCCAGAGAGCAUGCAGACCCACUGCGCGAGUGGCCAGAUGAUGCAAGGGAAGUUUUGCUCACUGAGUAAGAGCUGAACUUGAUUUCUCCUAAUUGGAAGCAUUUGACAAUACCUGUUGCAUCUCAUGUAAAGUGUGGAAAUUGCACCAUGUUAUGCUGGAAUGUUGCUGUCUCCAAACAUCCAUAUAAUUGUAUUCAAAAAUGUGUAAGGAAAUGCAAGGAGUAGACAAAACCUCCAAGAAGCAUCUGGGGAUAUGUUCUUACUUUAAUAUUCAAUGCACGAAGUCUUGAAGGAAAAUGUCACAACAACUGGAGUUUUCUGAACGGUAUUAAAACUGACCUCAGAUUUGCUUAAAAUCCUAGCAUUAUCAUAUGUGCUGUUCUACUUCUUCUACAUCACAAUGAGAACAUCAGAAACCGAAAAUACAGCAAGGUACCUUUCUCCGACACAAGCCAUCAAUGGUUUUAGUGUAUGCACCAAAAAGCAAUACAAAGAAAAUUGAGAGAUCCAGCUCACCUUGAAGUCCAUUUCCAUUUGCACUGGUGCAAGAUGGUGGAGGAGAGGCUUGGGGCCUGACAACAGGAGCAAAGGCGCUCUUUUGUUUCACUGCAGAGAUGACAUUGGCAGGUGAGAAUGAGAAAAUGCCGUGUGUACUGCUACAGUUUGAAGGGAGGGUGACCGAAGAGGCUGCCAUGGUAGGGCUUGACGGCACUACUGCAAUAAAGCAAAAAUAAUCAGGACUCAGAUUGAGGUUUUCACGGCAAACACGGAAAAAGAGAGUGAUAGGGCCUUGCCUUUUAAAAUAUAUAUAUAUAUAUAAAUAUAUAUUAAAAAAAAAAAGAAAUGAAAUGCCUUGGCUUGGCCACUCUCUGGAUAACAGGCAAACUCUUUUGUGUUGGACUUUUGUUACAAAUUGUGCAGUCCAAUUUUUUUUUUCUAUCUGAGAUGGUAUUAUGGCACAAACAGAUCAAUUUAUUAAAUUCAUUUUUACGUCCAGCCUCCAGAGUCACCCCUCCUUUUAUCCAGUAGCUCACAAUAUAGAAAAUCAAAACAAUGCAAGUAUUUGGUUUUGUAGUAAAUAUGAAUCUAUAUGAUGAUGUGUUACCAAAAAUAGACACUUACUGCCAUAAGGAGAGUUAGCUGAGGAGCCAUUAAGAAAUCCAGGGGAACCUGGUACACCUAGAUUGGGCAUGCCGGCAUUGCCAUAUCCAUUCAUGCUAUUGCUGACUGUGUUGUAAUUGGACUGCUGAGGAGUACUGCUCGGAACAUAUCCUCGCGGGGAAACACUGCUUGUGUUGCGACUGUAACCUACUGUGUUAGAAACCCCCCCACCCCAAAAAAAUAAUGUUAUUUUAUAAUAUAAACUUAGGGCUGGGGGGUUUCCUCAUGCAUCAUAUAUUACACAGUUUUAAUUGAUUGCACAGCUUUGCUCUGAGUUGUCUGUUACUGCCCUAUCAACUCUUGCAGUUUGAGAUAACCUUAUCACGCCAACCCUACUUAAAUCAUCUGCGAGCACUCUAUGUUGUCUCUCGUCUUAGCAUAGACAGCCAACAAAAGCUCUCUUCGAUCCAGCUGUGUCAGUUUGCUUCGCGUUUGUCUUUAGUAGCAAUUAUCAACAGGCUUGAGUCCUGGUUGGUACCAACACACUGCGUGAACUUUCAGACCUUCAAAUGCCAGAGCUGGCGAGAAAGACUUUAUUGUUUGCAGUGAGUUACUUUAAAAGGCUGUUUUGGGGUCUUCAUUUUAUGAUUGAUAUUUUUAUACUAACAAUAAGCUGGCACUUUCAUAAGGUGUAGUCAUCAGUGAAAACUAAUUCGAGAUCAAGCACAGAAUUUUAUAAGGCUUAUUAGCUUGGAAAUGCAUUAAAAGACAAUCUCUUAUAAGAGGAAAGAUAGCAGAAUCAGGAUUUUAAACAACAUUUUUUUUCUAUCUGAGCAAUCAAUUUAAUAAUUAUGUUGCAAGCAAAAAAUACGGUUUUGAACAUAUCUAAUAAUCUGGUCUCACUCCUUUCAUUAGUAUCAAAAUUAAUUUUAAAUGCAAUAUGCUACAUGCGUUUUCAAUUACGAAAUGUAAAUUAAAUCAACUAUUUCUUUUAUUAGUAACAUAUAUGUCACACAUGCUUAUAAACAAAAUACUUUACAAUCACAGACAUCAAAUUAGAUUUAUCUGUGCAAAUACUCAGAAACAGGUGGAGAUACCUAGACAUAAUUAUUUUAUAAUAAACAAACACACUGUAUAUUUACUGUGAAUAAUAAAGAGCUUUCUAGGCUUUGCCAAUUUCUUUUUCCACCAGAGAUGCUUUACGAUAACAGUAAACUGAAGAACAGGAAGAAUUAGGUAUUAUGAGGAAGUUAAAGAUGGCAUUUCAUCGCGCGCUCAGACAUACGACAACAAGGAGAAAAAGAGGUAGAACACAGCGCUGACAUUAGCCAAUAUUAAUAGGCACCGUCCAAACACAGCCAACAAGGAUUAACUCUUGAAAACCCACAUACCUUGGUCGUUAGCUUGUGAUGUUUCUGAAACAUUGACUGCUAGCUGGCUGCUAAACGAGUUCACUCCCAUCAUGCCAGUAUGAGCAGGAGUGUUGGCUAGAGUAGGAAUCUGGUUGUGAUUGCGUGGCACGCUGUAUAAUGCUUCAGCAAUGUCAGCUGCUCGUUUCAGAAUUAUUUCCUAUAAGGACACAGAAUGAUUAGUAACAGCUAGGAAGCAUUUGUGCAAAUGCUCAAAGUUCUCAUCAUGUUCCCAUCCCCAGAAGAGAUUCACGUAACGUGGAGGUAAGCCAUGGGGAUUUUGCUUGCUUCGAAUGAACACUUCUAUACCAAACCACUAUACAGUGUCAUGCCAAUGCAGUAUGCUUAAAGAAAUAAGGAAAUUAAUACAAAAUUACAGUUUAGCAUUGUAAGCCAUGUGAAAAUUGUAAACACGUAUUUUCUUCAUCCAGUGCAGUAGGUGUAUUUCCAGCAGUUCUCAAAAGGCAGUAGGUUUUAUUCGGUCUGUUUAGCAGAUUUAUUUAGGACUUCCCAUUAGUCACUGUAUAUUUUGGACCGAGUUCAAGGUUAUUCUCUUGCCUUAAUGAUUGCUUAUGCUUUUGGCACCUUACACUUAAUUGUCAUUUCUGAUGGGCAAACUAGCGGUAAGAGGAGAAUGGGAAGAUGAAGCAUUUCCCUCGGAGCAUUGCAUCACAUCAGACUGCCCUCAAGGUGGCUGGCAAAACCACGCUGUGUACAGAAAGAAUGUGUUGACACUUUGCCAGCUUUGCAAAUAGCAGGUAUUGAUUUACAUGUGUAAGCAUGUACACGAGAGCUGCACCGGUGACCUACCUGGUUGUUAUGGGGCAUCCCAUAUAGGGCUUCCACAAGGUCUGCUGCUCUCUUAAGUAAUACUUCCUAAAGGAAAACAAACAGAGUGCGUUAUGUUUCACUGAAGGCAGCCAUUGCUCCAAGGAAGAAAACGGGUGUGAUGAUGUUAGCAACUCGCAGCAGCUUCUAAGGCUCCGAGGAAAUAAUAAAGUGGGGAAAAUAGAUGGCACGCUAUCGCGGUGCUAUUGCUAUACUUAGCGGAUGCAUUACAAAGAUAGGAAGGCAUUUUGUUUUGGAGGAAAAUACUGUUUGCAGUUUGAAGUCAAAGUUAGAUACCAACCUAAAAAUAAUAUUGCAUUUAACAUCCAGCUGUUCUAUUAUGAUUGACUAGAAAAG
rnacentral:lncRNA from 1 species